AUUGAACGCUGGCGGCAUGCCUUACACAUGCAAGUCGAACGGUAACGCGGGGCAACCUGGCGACGAGUGGCGAACGGGUAAGUAAUGUAUCGGAACGUGCCCAGUUGUGGGGGAUAACUGCUCGAAAGAGCAGCUAAUACCGCAUACGACCUGAGGGUGUGAGCGGGGGAUCGCAAGACCUCGCGCAAUUGGAGCGGCCGAUAUCAGAUUAGGUAGUUGGUGGGGUAAAGGCUCACCAAGCCAACGAUCUGUAGCUGGUCUGAGAGGACGACCAGCCACACUGGGACUGAGACACGGCCCAGACUCCUACGGGAGGCAGCAGUGGGGAAUUUUGGACAAUGGACGCAAGUCUGAUCCAGCCAUGCCGCGUGCGGGAAGAAGGCCUUCGGGUUGUAAACCGCUUUUGUCAGGGAAGAAACGCUCUGGGUUAAUACCUCGGGGUAAUGACGGUACCUGAAGAAUAAGCACCGGCUAACUACGUGCCAGCAGCCGCAGUAACAC
rnacentral:rRNA from 1 species